UCAAGUGCUGUCAUUGCAGGUGUUUGC
rnacentral:sRNA from 1 species